rnacentral:misc_RNA from 1 species
GAUGAAGAACGCAGUGAAAUGCGAUACGUAAUGUGAAUUGCAGAAUUCAGUGAAUCAUCGAGUCUUUGAACGCACAUUGCGCCCCCUGGUAUUCCGGGGGGCAUGCCUGUCCGAGCGUCAUUGCUGCCCUCAAGCACGGCUUGUGUGUUGGGCCUCCGUCCUCCUCCCGGGGGACGGGCCCGAAAGGCAGCGGCGGCACCGCGUCCGGUCCUCGAGCGUAUGGGGCUUCGUCACCCGCUCUUGUAGGCCCGGCCGGCGCUUGCCGACACAUCAAUCUUUUUUCCAGGUUGACCUCGGAUCAGGUAGGGAUACCCGCUGAACUUAAGCAUAUCAAUAAGCGGAGGGA